rnacentral:rRNA from 1 species
AAUCGAGGCCCCGUAAUUGGAAUGAGUACACUUUAAAUCCUUUAACGAGGAUCAAUUGGAGGGCAAGUCUGGUGCCAGCAGCCGCGGUAAUUCCAGCUCCAAUAGCGUAUAUUAAAGUUGUUGCAGUUAAAAAGCUCGUAGUUGGAUCUCAGGAUUUGGAUGGAUGGUUCGCUUUCGGGCGCUACUAUCUGUCUGACCUACUCUAGUCGUGGAUGCCUUGGGUGCUCUUAAUUGAGUGCUUUUGGUGCCCGACGCAAUUACUUUGAAAAAAUUAGAGUGCUCAAAGCAGGCGUAUUGCCUGAAUAGUGUUGCAUGGAAUAAUGAAAUAGGAGUUUACUUCUAUUUUGUUGGUUUUCGGAGGUGAACUAAUGAUUAACAGGGACAGACGGGGGCAUUUGUAUGGAGGGGUUAGAGGUGAAAUUCUUGGAUCCUCUCCAGACAAACUACUGCGAAAGCAUUUGCCAGGAAUGUUUUCACUAAUCAAGAACGAAAGUCAGAGGUUCGAAGACGAUCAGAUACCGUCCUAGUUCUGACCAUAAAUGAUGCCAUCUAACAAUCCACGAAGUUUGCUUGUACGAACUCGUGGGCGGUCCCCGGGAAACCAAAGAUUUUGGGUUCCGGGGGAAGUAUGGUUGCAAAGCUGAAACUUAAAGGAAUUGACGGAAGGGCACCACCAGGAGUGGAGCCUGCGGCUUAAUUUGACCCAACACGGGAAACCUCACCCGGCCCGGACACUUUUAGGAUUGACAGAUUGAAGGCUCUUUCUUGAUCAAGUGGUUGGUGGUGCAUGGCCGUUCUUAGUUGGUGGAGCGAUUUGUCUGGUUAAUUCCGAUAACGAACGAGACUCUACUCUGCUAAAUAGAACGUUGAUAUAUAAAAGUCAGUGCUGACUUCUUAGAGAGACUAACGGCGUUUAGCCGUGUGAGAAAGAGCAAUAACAGGUCUGUGAUGCCCUUAGAUGUCCGGGGCCGCACGCGCGCUACACUGACUGCAGCAACUAGUAUGCUCCUGGUUUGAAAAAACUGGGUAACCUGGUUGUAUUGCAGGCGUGACAGGGAUCAGAGUUUGCAAUUAUCCUCUGUGAACGAGGAAUUCCCAGUAAGCGCAAGUCAUUAGCUUGUGCUGAUUACGUCCCUGCCCUUUGUACACACCGCCCGUCGCUACUACCGAUUGAAUGGUUUAGUGAGGUCUUCGGAUUGGUGCUGAUGGAGUGGUUCUCUGCUCUGUUAGUGCCGAGAAGAUGAUCAAACUUGAUCAUUUAGAGGAAGUAAAAGUCGUAACAAGGU